rnacentral:rRNA from 1 species
CAGCCGCCGCGGUAAUACGUAGGUGGCAAGCGUUGUCCGGAAUUAUUGGGCGUAAAGCGCGCGCAGGCGGAUCAGUCAGUCUGUCUUAAAAGUUCGGGGCUUAACCCCGUGAUGGGAUGGAAACUGCUGAUCUAGAGUAUCGGAGAGGAAAGUGGAAUUCCUAGUGUAGCGGUGAGAUGCGUAGAUAUUAGGAAGAACACCAGUGGCGAAGGCGACUUUCUGGACGAAAACUGACGCUGAGGCGCGAAAGCCAGGGGAGCGAACGGGAUUAGAUACCCCUGUAGUCCCUGUCUCUUAUACA